AGGGAUGCCAGACGUGCAGUCCAGGCACUGUGGCAGUUCCUGUUAAUAACACAGUAUGUCCAACAUGCAGCAACUUGAAGGAAAGGCAAUUUUGAAACCAAAGUCCUAAUAGAGCAACGGGCAUGGACCUUCACACUGAGCUUAAGUCCUUCUUCCUGUCCAAACCAAAGUCUUCUGCUUCUCCCAAGGAAAACUGAGGAAAACUGCCUCUGUACCUUCUCUGGUGCUGCCUGCAGGCCUCAGGGAGCUUGUUCUCUGGAUUCUUCCUGGUCCUAACACAGCAACUGAGAAUAUGCCAGCCCAGUCCUGCCCUCUUCUUCAGUGCUUACCUGGAGGCCAUGUGGAGCUUCGUGCCAUCUGCUGGACUCCUGUUGUCCCAGCAUGAUGGCUUAGAAGAUGCAAGUCCCAGUCCUGCCUUCUUCUUCAGGACUUGCCUUGAGGCUACAGGGAGCUCAGGACCAUCCACUGGACUCCUAUUGUCCCAGCACAGCAGCUCAGAGGGCACUAGUCUCAGUCCUGCCUCCUUCAGAACUCACCUCAAGGCUGCAGGGCUCAUCCAUUGGAUUCUUCUGGUCCUAAUGCAGAAGCUUAGAAGAUGCCAGUCCUGCCCUCUUCUUGAGGGCUCAGCUGGAGGUCACAGGGAGCUCACGGCUGUCUGGUGGACUCCUCCCAUUGUCCUGGUGCAGAAGUAUAGAGGGCACCAGUCCCAGUCUCUCCCUUCUCCUCAGAGCUUGGGAAAGGAGAGGUGAGAGGUCUUGGGGAAGAAUGAGGAUGGGGAAGAAGGGCUUUUGAGGGCAGCAGCUGGCCUAGGGGCUUUCUGGCAGAUGGUGACUGCUCAAUGCUGAGAUGGAAAUUGAGAGUCCCUGGUGCAUCGCCAACAGAUGUAGCGACAGCUCCGGGCAAGCAUGGUGUCAGGUGUGAUGGAGGUGGGUCUCCCUCCAUUGGUGGUUUAUCUUCUGGAGGCGCGUCCACCUCCAUGGUCUCAAUGUUGCUCUCCAGUGGGUCUAUAUUCAUUGGUUCAGCUUUGCUGAUGCUCUAUAGAAGACGAAGCUUCUUUGGUGGAGGAGGAUCCAUCCUUCUCCAGAAGGUUCCCACAAUGGGAGGAAAUGGUCUAUCCAAGGAGCUCCUUGUCUCAGGUAUAUGCUUUCCGGACAGAAGUCGGUUAGCGACUGGAGUGGCUGAAGUCCCCAGGUUUACUCAGUGCAGAGCAGGCUGAUGGGAGGCCUAUGGCAGCUGCAGCUCUUCACAGGGAGUGGAGGGCAGCGCUCUGUAGGGACAGCGAUAGGGCCUGAGGGAAUGGAAUGGAGCUGU